rnacentral:rRNA from 1 species
UAGGGAAUCUUCCACAAUGGACGCAAGUCUGAUGGAGCAACGCCGCGUGAGUGAAGAAGGUUUUCGGAUCGAAAAGCUCUGUUGUUGGUGAAGAAGGAUAGAGGCAGUAACUGGUCUUUAUUUGACGGUAAUCAACCAGAAAGUCACGGCUAACUACGUGCCAGCAGCCGCGGUAAUACGUAGGUGGCAAGCGUUGUCCGGAUUUAUUGGGCGUAAAGCGAGCGCAGGCGGAAUGAUAAGUCUGAUGUGAAAGCCCACGGCUCAACCGUGGAACUGCAUCGGAAACUGUCAUUCUUGAGUGCAGAAGAGGAGAGUGGAAUUCCAUGUGUAGCGGUGGAAUGCGUAGAUAUAUGGAAGAACACCAGUGGCGAAGGCGGCUCUCUGGUCUGCAACUGACGCUGAGGCUCGAAAGCAUGGGUAGCGAACAGG